rnacentral:rRNA from 1 species
UCGGCCUUGUUGCCGAGCUCCGUUCAAGUUCAUAGGUUUGUUGUUGACGCCCUUGCUGGCCGAACGCGAAUCGCAACUAGAUUUGGUAGGUGCACUUAUGUGUAUUUUGAAUCUGGCUUGUGAGUUGCCGAGGCUUACGAGAGCAUCUCCAGCGAAUUGGGCUACCAGCAACUGCUGGCCUGCCCGGAAUGAAUGUACCUCAUCUAUGGAUCUCAGAUUAAGUAAGACUA